CCCGCGUCUGAUUAGCUAGUUGGUGAGGUAACGGCCCACCAAGGCGACGAUCAGUAGCCGGCCUGAGAGGGCGACCGGCCACAUUGGGACUGAGACACGGCCCAAACUCCUACGGGAGGCAGCAGUGGGGAAUAUUGCACAAUGGGGGAAACCCUGAUGCAGCGACGCCGUGUGAGUGAAGAAGUAUUUCGGUAUGUAAAGCUCUAUCAGCAGGGAAGAAGAAAGACGGUACCUGACUAAGAAGCCCCGGCUAACUACGUGCCAGCAGCCGCGGUAAUACGUAGGGGGCAAGCGUUAUCCGGAUUUACUGGGUGUAAAGGGAGCGUAGACGGCUGUGCAAGUCUGAAGUGAAAGCCCAGGGCUCAACCCUGGGACUGCUUUGGAAACUGUGGAGCUAGAGUGCUGGAGAGGUAAGUGGAAUUCCUAGUGUAGCGGUGAAAUGCGUAGAUAUUAGGAGGAACACCAGUGGCGAAGGCGGCUUACUGGACAGUAACUGACGUUGAGGCUCGAAAGCGUGGGGAGCAAACAGGAUUAGAUACCCUGGUAGUCCACGCGGUAAACGAUGAAUACUAGGUGUUGGAGAGCAAAGCUUUUCG
rnacentral:rRNA from 1 species